UACGUAGGGGGCAAGCGUUGUCCGGAAUCAUUGGGCGUAAAGCGCGUGUAGACGGCUGAGUAAGUCUGCUCUGAAAGCCCGGGGCUCAACCCCGGGAGGCGGGUGGAUACUGUCAAGCUCGAGUCCGGAAGAGGCGAGUGGAAUUCCUGGUGUAGCGGUGAAAUGCGCAGAUAUCAGGAGGAACACCAAUGGCGAAGGCAGCUCGCUGGAACGGUACUGACGCUGAGGCGCGAAAGCGUGGGGAGCGAACAGG
rnacentral:rRNA from 1 species